UCUACAAUGCAAUUAAUUCUAUAGAUAUAUUUUACAUAAACUAUGACAAAAAUAUUAUUAUAUUCGAAAUAAAAACAAAUCGCGUAAAUUUUUACGACUUUAAUUACUUUUCGGCAAUGUAAACAUAGUGAGACUUUUGAAACAUUGAAAUGCGGGGGAAACGCGGAUUUCAGUCAGCUAAAGCGAUCCAGCGUUACAUCAAGGUUUUUUGACCCACAGAAGACGAUGGAAAGCUGCCUCACCAAGACACCAGACGCCGGAUCAUCUAUAUUUGCAAUCGCAGACGCAAGACAUGUGUUCAGGUUUUGAAUAUAAUGUCUCCAGUAUGGAUAUGUUUGACGAUUGUUACCAUGGAAACGAACUCACAAACCAACAUGUAUGUCAAAACAGGUGGGUUUUUUUUGGUAAAUUAAAUAUAGUGGUACCCAUUUCAAUCAAUUUUAGAAUUUUUAAAUUAGUCAUACCCUUCCGUUUUUUGGUGUGUUUUUUUACAGGUUUUGAACAUGAUGUCUCCAGCAAGGAUAUGUUUGAUGAUGGUUACCAUGGGAACGAACUCACAGACCUAUGUCAAAAAUGUCAUUUUCUGAUAGAAUAGACAUAAUGCUAUCCAUUUCACUUAAUUUUAGAAUUUUUUAAUUAUUCUGAUGUUAGCCAUACACUUCCGGGUUCUCUACAGGUUUUGAACAUGAUGUCUCCAGCAAGGAUAUGUUUGAUGAUGGUUACCAUGGUAACGAUCUCACAGACCUAUGUCAAAAAUGUCAUUUUCUGAUAGAAUAGACAUAAUGCUAUCCAUUUCACUCAAUUUUAGAAUUUUUUAAUUAUUCUCAUGUCAGUCAUACCUUUCCAUUUUUUGUUUACAGGUUUUGAACAUGAUGUCUCCAGCAAGGAUAUGUUUGAUGACGGUUACCAUGGAAACGAACUCACGGACCUAUGUCAAAAAUGUCAUUUUCUGAUAGAAUAAAUAUAAUGCUAUCCAUUUCA